GGAGGUAAACCAGCCCAGAGCUCGUGUCACGGAAAGCAGAAGCUUCGGCCUGCUUUGUCCCUCAAGCUCUCUGGGCCGGAUUGGGACCCGGGAAAGGAUCGCUAGGAAGAGGCACCCAGGAGUACUGCUUGCAUGGACACUUCACUUUCCUGUGCUGCGGGUGGAUGUAGGGACCAGUUUUCUCCUCGGAAUUCGCCUUGCAAUCCCACGAAUUGGGUGUGUGUGUUUUAAAGACCAAGUCGUGUGCCCUGUACUCAGGCUUGGAUACCGACGAGGAUGUCCCUGAGGGACUUUGAGGACUGUUGUGUGCACAGGUGUCCCACGGGGGACGAUCUGUGAUAUAUGUGAAAUACUGCGCAAGUGCAAAAUGUGCUGUUCAGAAACACAGGUAUGCUCAUGUACAAGGUCUGGGAGUUGUAUUUGCUCAUUAGUGAGGUGUGUGGAUCAAGCAUCUGAUUAAACACGGUUCGUGAAUAUAGCCUCUUCUUUUUCUUUAUUUUUCCUUCCCCACCUCCACAAUCUUUACCUGCCUCCUCCCCUCCCAGCGUCGGUAAUUCUGUUACUGACUCAAAAGAAAAGCAGCAGGCUGGGGAAGCGCUUGCCCGCAUCUCUAUCAUGAUGAACAGUGGUUCUGAUCUUCUUUCUCAAAAAGGUUUUGAGAUGAUAACAGAAGUCUGAUGGAUAUCCAGUUAUACCCGCAAGAACAGAAGAAGAAUCAGAGGAAAUAUGCGCCAGCACAAAAUCAGGAUCAGCACCCUAAUCCUAGGUGGAGAAAGGGUACCUCGGGCGUGUACAAGGCUGGGAAACAGAACUUCAGGCGCCGCGGGGAUCACCUCCCGGGCCGCGUCUGGCCGGCGGUAAGCCGCCAGAGCUGUAAGGGUUGGAGGAGACUCGGGAGAAGCAGCUUGUUUGCACCGCGCUUCGGCGGGAUGUGGAUGCAGCAGGAGCGCCCAGAAGCUGUGGGGGGAACUUUGAUUUUCUUCCCACUCCUACCCCACUCCCUUAGGCAGGCUGGAUAGGGCCCUACGUCCUGGCAAGAGUGGGAUUCCGUUCCUCUAGGCCUGUUUGCAGAGGUUGUGUGGGCUACCGCGUUUCGCCGGUUAAUUCUGACAAAGCCGGGCGUCCACUUAGUGACCUCCGGCCUGCGCCCAAAUCCAGCGGCCAUGGUCUUUAGCCAGCCGGAGCUCCAUGUUUCUCUGGCCGAGGUUUACAGGAGCCCUCAACACCUCCAUCCAGCUCCUUGUGCCGCUUGAGAAAUGCCUGCAAACGCCGUGCUAGGAAGCCGCGGACGCAGCAGCCUCUCAGCAAGCCGGCUUGGCGCUCCGGACGUCUAGACCGCAGGCGUGAGCAAGUCGCUGGUCCCCGAUGAAGACGUUUCUCUCCCGGGAUGGGUUUCCGGCAGCUGCCGCAGAAGUAUUGCGGCCGGCCGUGCGAGGCAGGCUGCGUUUUCCCAGCACCAUUCAGGUCGGACGCACAGCCACCCGGCCGGCUCCUCGGGUCCCCUUUCUUAUCAGUCCGAACAGUCCCGGCUUCCCGUUCCUGCGCCAGGAGAGAAGAACCCAGGAGGUUGAAGCGCUCUUAGACACAAGCUGCCUCUGCAGCUCAUUGGAAAGAGAGCUUCGGUGGGGCUUACCCCUCCCUACCCAACUCUACACCUAACAACCGACCUCCAGCCUCACCCCCACAUCUGAGGCAUCUACAUAACUCCGAUACACUCACAUUGACCCCUGUCGACCUCUCUCCAUCAACUCCAAAUCCUCUCUGCCUCACUACUCCCCCACACUCACCUGUUGCACAUACUAGUUCAGAUUCUGCACUUUUUGGUAGAAGUGUAUUAAAUCGGCCUUUGGACACCAAUCCCUUCCUUACACUCCCAGCAAGCCCUCCCAUCUCAUGGCUUCCUAGUCGGUGCGAGGGGGAUUCCACUUCGUGAACCCGCCAGACCGUGGGUUUGGAGACUUAAUGGUGUUCUCAGGACAUUUGCAGAAUAGGCCAGCGGCCCCUUUGUUUCUGGAUACCACAAAGAAGAUGCCCUCUUUAGGCCUGGCCUGAGCAUCUCUCUCCAGUGUUUGGUCACGUGUUCUAGAACGAGGCGAAGGCUUGAAGAUGAGCUGAGUGGCUGAGCUGGUUUGUCUUCACUGUCACCGUGAUUGGAUGUGGAAUCACCUAGGAAACACACCUGUGAGCAUGUCUGUGCCGGAGUUUCCAGCCCAGGGACUGGAGUCCUGGAGUGAGUAAGAAGAAAAUGAGCAGAGCAGCAGCGUUUAGCUCAUAGCUCAUAGCUCAGGAGACUGUGGAUACAGUGUGACCAUCUGCCUCAAGCUUUUGCUGUCCUGCCCUCCCACCUCGAUUUGGCCUGUAAACCCAAAGCGGCUUU